GGCAGAGGAGCCAAGCGUUGUCCGGAUUGACUGGGCGUAAAGCGCACGCAGGCGGUCGCGCGCGUGGGGUGUGAAAUCUGGCCGCUUAACGGCCAGGCGCCAUCCCAUACGGCGCGACUGGAGUGAUGCAGAGGUCGAUGGAAUUGCCGGUGUAGUGGUGAAAUGCGUAGAGAUCGGCAGGAACACCCAGGGGGGAAACCAGUCGACUGGGCAUCUACUGACGCUGAGGUGCGAGAGCGUGGGGAGCGAACCGG
rnacentral:rRNA from 1 species